UGGGGAAUUUUCCGCAAUGGGCGCAAGCCUGACGGAGCAAUACCGCGUGAGGGAGGAAGGCUUUUGGGUUGUAAACCUCUUUUCUCAAGGAAGAAGUCCUGACGGUACUUGAGGAAUCAGCAUCGGCUAACUCCGUGCCAGCAGCCGCGGUAAUACGGAGGAUGCAAGCGUUAUUCGGAAUUAUUGGGCGUAAAGCGUCCGCAGGUGGUGCCUCAAGUCUGCUGUCAAAGACCGAAGCUCAACUUCGGGCAGGCAGUGGAAACUGAAGCACUAGAGUACGGUAGGGGUAGAGGGAAUUUCCAGUGUAGCGGUGAAAUGCGUAGAGAUUGGAAAGAACACCGAUGGCGAAGGCACUUUACUGGGCUAUUACUAACACUGAGAGACGAAAGCUAGGGUAGCAAAUGGGAUUAGAUACCCGCGUAGUCC
rnacentral:rRNA from 1 species